rnacentral:snoRNA from 1 species
AUUCUCCAGAUUCCUGACCACUCAGAUCUAAAUAUGGGUCUGAAUGGCUAAAAACGGAGGGAAAGUAAACCUGAAAAGGACUUGGAGUCUGGUGAUGUACAAAUUCAUUUCAAACAAGC